UACGUAGGGGGCAAGCGUUGUCCGGAAUCAUUGGGCGUAAAGCGCGUGUAGGCGGCCCGAUAAGUCCGCUGUGAAAAUCCAGGGCUCAACCCUGGACCUGCAUUCGAUACGGGCAGACUAGAGUUCGGUAGGGGAGACUGGAAUUCCUGGUGUAGCGGUGAAAUGCGCAGAUAUCAGGAGGAACACCGGUGGCGAAGGCGGGUCUCUGGGCCGAAACUGACGCUGAGGAGCGAAAGCGUGGGGAGCAAACAGG
rnacentral:rRNA from 1 species